rnacentral:rRNA from 1 species
GAUCCUGGCUCAGGAUGAACGCUAGCUACAGGCUUAACACAUGCAAGUCGAGGGGCAGCAUGGUCUUAGCUUGCUAAGGCUGAUGGCGACCGGCGCACGGGUGAGUAACACGUAUCCAACCUGCCGUCUACUCUUGGCCAGCCUUCUGAAAGGAAGAUUAAUCCAGGAUGGGAUCAUGAGUUCACAUGUCCGCAUGAUUAAAGGUAUUUUCCUGUAGACGAGUGGGGA